GACGAACGCUGGCGGCGUGCUUAACACAUGCAAGUCGAACGGACAGGCCCUGCUCUUGCGGGGUGCUUGAGUGGCGCACGGGUGAGUAACACGCGAGUAUCCUGCCCCUGACUUUGGGAUAACUCCAGGAAACAGGGGCUCAUACCGGAUAGGAUCUCUUGCUGCACGGUGGGGGUUGGAAAGUUUCGGUGGUUGGGGAUGGUAUCGCGGGUUAUCAGCUUCUUGGUGAGGUAGUGGCUUUCAAAGGCUUCGACGGGUAGGCGACCUGGGAGGCGGACCGGCGACAUUGGGACUGAGGUACGGCCCAGAAUCCUACGGGAGGCAACGGGGGAGAGUAUUACGGAAUAGGGGGAAGCCUGAUGCAGAGACGCCGCGUGCGGAAUGACGGGCUACGAGGUGUAAACCGCUUUCGCCGGUAACGAGGCGUGAGUGACGGUAAUGAGUAAGGAAGCACCGGCUAACUACGUG
rnacentral:rRNA from 1 species